rnacentral:rRNA from 1 species
AUCGAACGCUGGCGGCAUGCCUAACACAUGCAAGUCGAGCGGAGCGGCGGACGGGUGAGUAAUGCCUAGGAAUCUGCCCGGUAGUGGCGGAUACCGCCCGGAAGCGGGCGCUAAUACCGCAGGCUAUCAGAUGAGCCUAGGUCGUAUUAGAUAGUUGGUGGGGUAAAGGCCUACCAAGGCGACGAUCCGUAGCUGGUCUGAGAGGAUGAUCGGUCACACUGGAACUGAGACACGGCCCAGACUCCUACGGGAGGCAGCAGUGGGGAAUAUUGGGCAAUGGGCGAAAGCCUGAUCCAGCAAUGCCGCGUGUGUGAAGAAGGUCUUCGGAUUGUAAAGCACUUUAGGUUGAGAGGCGUUACCAACAGAAUAAGCACCGGCUAACUUCGUGCCAGCAGCCGCGGUAAUUC